rnacentral:tRNA from 1 species
GCCGACGUGGCGCAACUGGCAGCGCACCGCACUUGUAAUGCGUAGGUUGGGGGUUCGAGUCCCCCCGUCGGCUCCG